AUACUUACCUGUCAGGAAAGAUACCAUAUCCACAAAGGUGGUUCUCCCAGGCUGAGGAUCGCCCAUUGCACUCCGGACGUGCUGACCCCUGCGAUUUUCCCAAAUGUGGAAAAGUCGACUGCAUAAUUUCUGGUAGUGGGAACAGUAGAUCAUG
rnacentral:snRNA from 1 species